CUAACAAGAAAGCACCGGCUAACUACGUGCCAGCAGCCGCGGUAAAACGUAGGGUGCAAGCGUUGUCCGGAAUUACUGGGUGUAAAGGGAGCGCAGGCGGGAAGACAAGUUGGAAGUGAAAACCAUGGGCUCAACCCAUGAAUUGCUUUCAAAACUGUUUUUCUUGAGUAGUGCAGAGGUAGAUGGAAUUCCCGGUGUAGCGGUGGAAUGCGUAGAUAUCGGGAGGAACACCAGUGGCGAAGGCGGUCUACUGGGCACCAACUGACGCUGAGGCUCGAAAGCAUGGGUAGCAAACAGGAUUAGAUACCCUGGUAGUCCAUGCCGUAAACGAUGAUUACUAGGUGUUGGGGGAUUGACCCCCUCAGUGCCGCAGUUAACACAAUAAGUAAUCCACCUGGGGAGUACGACCGCAAGGUUGCAACUCAAAGGAAUUGACGG
rnacentral:rRNA from 1 species